rnacentral:rRNA from 1 species
GACGAAGGGGGCUAGCGUUGUUCGGAUUCAUUGGGCGUAAAGGGUGCGUAGGCGGCGCGGUAAGUCGGGUGUGAAAUCUCGGAGCUUAACUCCGAAACUGCAUUCGAUACUGCCGUGCUUGAGGACUGGAGAGGAGACUGGAAUUUACGGUGUAGCGGUGAAAUGCGCAGAUAUCAGGAAGAACACCCGUGGCGAAGGCGGUUCUCUGGGACGGUACUGACGCUGAGACGCGAAAGCGUGGGGAGCGAACAGG